rnacentral:lncRNA from 1 species
UUUCUCAAAGAGCUUAUGUGAGAUGGUGUAAGUGUGAGAAUGAGCUUAAACAUCGGGUUUGAAGAUGGAACUUAACCGCCAGACCAGUGCUGUCCCUGAGCCACUCUGCACUUCAGAAUCAUCUCAGUAAGUCUCCAUGCAUGUGUGGCCUGAAUACCAUGGUGGGAUUAGUGGCCCCCAGAAAGGCAGACCUCAGAGGAAGACUAUGCAGGGCUCACUUUGCAGAAGGGGAAAGUGGGGCUCAAGGUGAAACAGAAGAAGUUUAGGCAGCGCUUGGGCUUGACUCCUGUCCUGCCCCCAGCUUCAAAGCUGGGGUGAUCUGGCCUGUGAGCAAAGCAUGCCUCCGUCCCUGCCGAGGGCAUCCUACUUUGUGUCUAAUCAGGGCUGAGAGGGGCAGAGGUAAGCUAGUGUUUCUCAUCCUCUGAGAUAACCUCUGAUCCACCGAGGGCCAGGGAAGAGGCCAUGAAAUGAAAUGAAGGAAACCUCUCUCGUGUCUUCAGAUGUAGAAAGCUACACAGGGCCAGGCGCAGUGGUUCACUCCUGUAAUCCCAGCACUUUGGGAGGCCAAGGUGGGCGGAUCACGAGGUCAGGAGAUCGAGACCAUCCUAGCUAACACGGUGAAACCCCGUCUCUACUAAAAAUACAAAAAAAUUAGCCAGGUGUGGUGGCAGACGCCUGCAGUCCCAGCUACUCGGGAGACUGAGGCAGGAGAAUGGCAUGAACCCGGGAGGCAGAGCUUGCAGUGAGCCGAGAUUGCGCCAUUGCACUCCAGCCUGGGCUACAGAGUGAGACUCCAUCUCAAAAAAAGAAAGAAAGAAAGAAAAGAAAGAAAGAAAAGAAAGAAAAGAAAGAAAGAAAGAAAGAAAGAAAGAAAGAAAGAAAGAAAGAAAGAAAGAAAGAAAGAAAGAAAGAAAGAAAACUACGUAGACCUGGAACAGGUACCAGAGAAGUAAGUGCUCAGAAUAGACCUCUCUAUUGCCUGCCAGUGACUCUGGGUUCAGCACUGGAGCUGACUGCCAAAGAGAUCAACAGCUUGGCGCAAGAGAGGCAGAAAGCAGAAGCGACUUACUGAGGUUCCACAGGCAGGGCAACCCCAGCCUCUUCUCUCCUUACUGCCCUUGCUGUGUGGACCCAGCCUCUUCCUGAAUCAUAGCUCAGAGAGCUCUGCUGAUGGGUUCUUCUCAGGAGACCCUGGGGGUAACCAAGAGAAGGUUUGCCUGACAGAAAGAAUCUGUGAAGCUCCACUAAACUCUAUGGGCCUUGGGCACGUCGCUCCCUCCCCUAGCCUCGGUCUCCCCACUUGGAACACUAAGGAGGUUGGUCUCGCACUUCUAAGUGCUUUUCUACUGUAAGAUUCUGUAUUUCUGGAACUGAGACAACAGGUUCUUAUGUAGCCUCAAUGAUACUGUUAGACAAUAAAAUAGGAACCCACAGAAUGUAUUAUUUCUUUCAAUUAAGUUUAGGUUUGUGCCAAUACACACAAAAAAGAAACUUGUCUUUGCAUGGAAAUCUCCUUUCCCCUCCCUAGAGCAUUUGAUAGGUGUCAUUCAAUUAUGAUAGGGUUGAGUAGACUCAACUAUAUUCUAAGGAUGAGGUAGAGCAUUCUUUUUUCUGGGAACUAAAACUACAUGAGUCUCAGAAACACUGUGUAAUAUUUAAUCUGUGCUCAGAUUUCCCAGCAUGGUUUUUUUCUUUUUUCAUCCUUGAAGGAGAGAUGCACUUCUCAUUUAGCUAAUUCAAAUUUUUUCUGAAACAAAUACAAAUUUAGUAGACUUAGGAAGUUGGGGCCUGCCAUGUACCAAGUUAAAAUGCAGGGUCUUGAGAGCCGCUGUUUCAGACGAGUACUCCCCAGGCAGACCCUCGGCUCCGGGCCUGCUCACUUCCCAAAGGCUUGAACCGCAGAAGGCUAGGUUUGGGGUCUUUUUCCUUUCUUAUUUUUAAGGCUCUUUGGAAGUUGAGGCCACAUUUAUAUAAUCCGUUUAUUCUUAAAGGAUUUCCCUGGGCCUAUCUUCUUAGGCUUUUUCAUUUAAAUGGACAAAGACAAACAGAAAAUGGAUGAGUACUGGGCACGGUGGCUCAUGAUUGUAAUCCCAGCACUUUGGGAGGGUGAGGCGGGUGGAUCACGAGGUCAGGAGUUUGAGACCAGCCUGCCCAACAUGGUGAAACCCUAACAAUACAAAAACUAGCUGGGCGUGGUGGUGUGCACCUGUAAUCCCAGCUACUCAGGAGGCUGAGGCUGGAGAAUCGCUUGAACCCGGGAGGCGGAGGUUGCAGUGAGCCAAGAUCAUGCCAUUGCACUCCAGCCUGGGUGAUAGAGGGAGACUCAGUCUUAAAAAAAAAAAAAAAAAAAAAAAGAAGAAGAAGAAGAAAAAGAAAAUGGAAAAAUGGAUGAGGCAGAGGCCAAGACAGAGCAACCACACAAAGAGAAAGUCAAAGACUGGCUGGGCGACAGAAAGGGAGCCAGGGACAGCCAGUCAGCAGGGAUGGAGACUGAGGAAGAGAGUGGGAGGAAUGAGAUGGCCCAGACGCAGGGAGGACAAAGUCCACCAGGGGAAGGGAUUCUCACGCCAGCCCAGCAUUGACGGUGCCAGAAUUGUGUCCAAAUAUUACCCUGUUUUCUUAUCCCUCAAGAUGUGAAUUCUCAAGGCAUGGCUGGAAAACAAGGAAUGCAGAUGAUGUGACUCUCAGAUGGAGCUUUUUAAAGACCACCGCCCCCUGCGCUGCGUCUAGCCACAACACAGCGGAGAAAGGACAGUAGAGCCGGCUGAUGGACCCCUGGCCCGGUUACCUGGGCAUCCCAGUCUGUGCCUGGCCAUUCUGGGUCUCUCAGGCCUGACCUGUGGAGGCUGCAGAGGUGCUCGGAGACACACGAUGAAGGUCCCCAGGAAGGCCCAGGUCAACCUUCUUGUUCUGGAGCAAGCUUCCAUCCAAGCAGAUGGGGUCCCAUCUCUGGGGUCAGGAUAUGGACCAGUGGGAGGAGAAAUGUUUUUCAAAAACAAGAGCUUUCUAUAUUAAAUAUGUCAAA